rnacentral:lncRNA from 1 species
CUGCUGCCGGCUGAACGCUGGUCCCGUCUCACACCUGAUCGCUGCUCAGGUUCCGCCCCCCCGCCCCCCGCCAACCAGCGCGCGGUGCAGAGACAAUGUCGAGGUCCCGGCCCAGGCUGGGCACUUGGGGCACGGCCUAGGGAGCGCGCGGGUCAGGGUGGGCAGCUCCUCACUCGGGGGCUGGGUGUGCGAUUCCGGACCGACAGACGGACGUCCAGGACGAGCAGCCGUUGGGGCGCCGGGGGGGGGGGGGGGGUUGGAGGAGGUGGAGCCGCCGGGGAGGGGCGGUGCCGCGGGGAGCGGAGCCCGGCCUCCCGCCCCCACCCCGCUUCGGUGCCUUAGUCUGGGCGGUGACACAAAAAGCUCCCGCUCGGAGCCGAGCGCCUGGCGGCGGUGUCCGACCGGGAGCGCCGAGGGCGGCGGGCAGGUGGGGCGCCUCCCGAAGGGCCGAGCCGGGAGCCGGGGCUGCAGGCACCGACGCCGCGCUCCCCGCGCCCGCCCCGCAGCCCGCCCCGCGCGUCUGGCCGAGCGGGUGGCGGGCGCGCCGGGACCAUCCCGCGAUGCUGCCGCCGCCGCCUCUGUAGGUAGCGCCCUAGCCCGCUGCAGAGAGAGCAUGCCCAUUACCCAGGGAUUCUGGGCACAUAUAAAUGAUCUGCUUGGGACUGGCAAACAAGAACUGGUGAUAAAUGGACAGUGAGCAAACCGUCUGAAAACAUUAGUCAAAAGGAUUCUUCCCUUCCAGAAAUGCUUGGUUAAGCAGGUUGGUCUUUCAGUUUUCUUGGAUCUUGACAUUUUAUGUUCACAUUGCUUUUCUU